AAUAAUAAUAAAUCAUCUCAAAUUACUCUCUAUGGGUCUUCAAAAAACAUGACAUUUCUAAGACAAAGAUCUAAGAAUUUUUUAAAUCUUGGGUGAUUCAAAUUCUUUUUUGAAAAUAGUAAACCAGGGUAUGGACUUCAUGUAUUUCGACUUGUUUAUAAAAAAAAAAUUCUCAGAAGAAAGACAUUCUGCCAAGAAUUUUUGUCUUCCAAUAAAAUGGGUAUACGUUUUGUAUCUAGCAGUAAGACAUUCAAACAAAAGUCAGAUUAAAAAGAAUUUUUUUUUUCAUAAAAUGUAUUAUAAUCAAUAUAUAUAUAUUUCUUUUUUAACAAACCAUUCGUAUUAUCCACAUUUUGAAGUCUUUAAAACGAAACUAAGGUUUGUGUACACAGUCCGUCAUUUUGUACUUUCAUGAUCAUUAAAUAAAUGCAAAAUUGAGUUCACAUCUCAACGGUUACCUAAAAGAACCGGUUCAAAGAGUCGAUUCAUUAUCGAAUCAAAUGUCACAAUUGCAGUCACAUUCGACUAAAAGAACCGAAUCUACAAGUGAAUGUGUCGAUUCUAAGAUCCAAAGUUGAUGAACUUAAUGAAUUCAAACGUCACUAAUUAACUCACUCACUCAACAGCAGCUACGUUAGGCUAGCAUGAGUUUGCUGAUAAAUAUGCUAGGCUAAUAAGCUAUAUAACUCGUGUCAGAUAUAUAAAUAUAUACAUGUUAUGUAGUCUCAUUUCACGGAUUUUUUUUUCCCCUCAGUAAUUUGUUGCUUAUUACACGAGCCGAGGUCUUAAAUUCAUGAAAACGGAUCAAAGUGGAAAGCCCGGAAGUUGCACUUGCUAAGUUAGCCGAAGAUACUACACAGCAAACACGGCUCUUUUCCAGAAAGAAGAGCUCGAGGCUCUGGAGCCCGCUGGUCUCUGGCACUCGGAGCCUCCGUGGCAGACAUGUUGAAGAUGCGUUCAGGCGCCGGGGGUCGAGGGCCUCUACCUUCGGCUCGUCCGCUCCGGAAACCGACGCAGUCCUACGUGUGCUGCUUCCACACCUCAGAUCCAUCAGAUUGUGAGGUAAAGGCAUCUCCCGUGCACGGCCCACAGUAUUUCAGUUGGAUUCAGGUCUGGGCUUUGGCUGGGUCCUUCAGAAACAUGGAUCUUCUUUCCGUCAAGCCGUUCCGUUUGUUGAUUUGGAUGCCUGCUUUGGGUCGUCGUCGUGCUGAAAGGUGAAAUUCCUUUUCAUCUUCAGCUUUCUAGCAGACACCUGAAUGUUUUGCACUAAAAUCGACUGGUAUCUGUAGCUAUUCAUGAUUCCCUCCACCUUGAUUAAAAGCCCCAGUUCUGACCGAGAAAAAGCAGCCCUAAAGCGUGAUGCUGCCACCACCAUGUUUCACCCUGGGUAUGGCGUUCUUUUGGUGUGCGCUUUUUAAAAAAAAAAAUUUUUUUUUAUGCUGAUUUGUUUUGUUUCCAAGGUCACCGUGUCUUUACAAUGCCAUGUUAGCUAUAAUAAUAUUUUUUGUAAAAGUUCUAUUUUAAAUGUAUAAAUAGAAUAAAGAAUGUAUUUCAUGAAUUUAAAGAAUUAGACGUGUAGAAAAGUGAAAUAAGUAAAUGAAGCAAAAGUCAAGCCACGAAAAUGAUCAAAUAAAUUGUUGUAAUGGUUAAUUUUACCGCUCUAAGCCUAUAAAAUCUUUCUUGCGCCGUGUGCAUGUUUUGGCAGCACACCGCUAACCAAAGCCAGCGCGAUUAAUGCUAAUAAAAAAUUCCCUUCUGCAGACUUGUUUACAAAUCGAGCAGCCUAAACAAAUUUUUUUUUUUCACCGAGUUUUUGGCUGUACCUGCCGAAGGGGGGAGGGGGGGGGCAACCUUCUUGUGUCUGCACACCAGCAGUACUUUAAUUUAAAACAGUCCGUUUUCUGGAGCAGGCCAGGAUCUUCAUCUUCUCCGCCACACGCUCCAGAUCCCGAGCGCAUAAACACACACACAACCUCAAAUCUGUGUUAAUGUGAGUCCAGCUUGGACGGAUUAGGAUGAAAUAACUGUAGCGUUAACACUGGUGAUUUUACUGGCCCAUUGUGCCUGGUGGGUGUUCUAGCAAUAAAUACACCCAUGUCAUAUUAUGGCUCUUAAAUAGCUAAUAAGCGAAAAGGUGUGGUGUGUGUGUGUGUGUGUGUGUGUUUUUUUUUUUUAACUCCACACACACUGAGGCUUGCUGUUUAAAGCAGUAAAGCAGCGCAAUAAAGAUUCUUUAAGACAUUACAUUUGUGAUGAACCACUGCGGGGGUUUUUUCCCCCCAUCGUGAACCCGAUGGCUUUGCCGGGUUCGGUGUUAAUAAAGUCAAGUCCCUGACCCUCGACAAACUCUGAUCUGUCUUUAACAAACUCCACAAACUACUUGAGCACCCUGCUGAUCAUCUGC